GUUACAGGCUUUAUGAUUAUACUUCCAAGAAGUAUUUAAUCUCCAGGGAUGUCCAAUUUCAUGAAUCAGUUUUUCCUUUCAAAAAUGCCUCUCUCUCUCUUCCUCCAUCUACUCCUACUUUUCCUUUCAUUCAUUCUGGAGAACAUGAUGAUAAUUCUAAUAAUUCUGAUUCUCCUCUUCCUCCCUCUCCUUCUGAUUCUGAUUCACCUGUCCAGCUACCUUCUUCUGCUCCACUCAGUCCUUCUGUCUCCCUUCCUGUCUUGGAUACUACUUCUGUCCCAGCUCCUAGAAAAUCUACCAGACUUCAUAAUCCCCCUUCCUACCUUAAGGAUUAUGUGUGCCAACUCCCUGCCUUCUCUGGCUCUUCUUCCUCCUCUUUGGAAGUUGAACCUCAAU
rnacentral:lncRNA from 1 species